GCCAAGACAACUCGCAGCAAUGUUCUGACAGCCGGGUCUUGCAAGAGGACACUACUCGACGAGGAGCUUGUUGUCUCCUCUUCACUAUACAUGACAGCAGGGCAAAUGCAUAUAUACAUAGUGGUAAUCGCUAUGUAUAUAUGCACAUUGGGGAAGCCGUCAGUGGUUUGUAUAGUCUUUUUGCCUACUGAAUUUAAUAAGGGAAAAAUAGUUUUAUUGAAGCCUAUGCCUCUUUCUCUGUCAUUUAGGAGUUAAAUCAAUUUUAUUUAUGUCCAUGCAACCCCAGUCACACCUCCCCAAGAUGUGAUUCCCACAGUCUGCAUGAGCAAAAUGGUUUCAUUUGUAACCAGAUGUUAACUCAUUUUAGAAGUUUUUAUCCCCUGCACUGUAAACUGAAUCCUAAUCCAACACAGGAGGCUCAUGUAGGGUCUAGAAGGCAAG